rnacentral:rRNA from 1 species
UACGUAGGUGGCAAGCGUUGUCCGGAAUUACUGGGCGUAAAGAGCGCGCAGGCGGCUGGUCAAGUCCGAUGUGAAAGCUUCCGGCUUAACUGGGAAAUUGCAUCGGAAACUGAUCGGCUUGAAGGUGGGAGAGGGUAGUGGAAUUCCCGGUGUAGUGGUGAAAUGACGUAGAUAUCGGGAGGAACACCAGUGGCGAAGGCGACUACCUGGCCCACUCUUGACGCUGAGGCGCGAAAGCUAGGGGAGCGAACGGG